rnacentral:ncRNA from 2 species
CAUUCAUGGAGAGAGGCGCGAGGGUACGGCCCUGUGACCGCCCGGCAACCUGCCCUGACGUGACGCCGUCGGUCGGGACAAGGUGCCAAUACCGACCGUGUAGCGCACGGGAUCAUGAUCG